GGAAGGGACCCGCCUGCAGGUCCCUUCCUGAGGCCGGCACUGACUUGGUCACUCUCUGGCUGCCCUGACCCCAGGCAGAGCAGCGACUUUCCUGUUUUAGAGCUGAGCAGACAGAGCCCCUGACUGCAGGCCAAGGUGCCUGCCAGCUGCUCCUGGAGGGCCAUAGCCUCUCUGUGCUUGCUGGAAGGUCCCAGGCACCGUGCAGGUGACAGUGGCC
rnacentral:lncRNA from 1 species